UACGAGGGGGGCAAAUGUUGUUCGGAAUCACUGGGCGUAAAGGGAGCGUAGGCGGGUUUUUAAGUCAGGUGUUUAAUCCCGGGGCCCAACCCCGGACCGGCACUUGAAACUGGGAAUCUUGAAUAGGGGAGAGGUCAGUGGAAUUGGAGGUGUAGCGGUGGAAUGCGUAGAGAUCUCCAAGAACACCAGUUGCGAAGGCGGCUGACUGGACCCAUAUUGACGCUGAGGCUCGAAAGCGUGGGGAGCAAACAGG
rnacentral:rRNA from 1 species